UUUUWCAAAAACAUCUCUUCUUGAUUAAUUUUUUGAAGUACGGCCUGCCCACUGAAUUUUGAAGGGCCGCGGUAUUUUGACCGUGCGAAGGUAGCAUAAUCAUUAGUUCUUUAAUUGUGGGCUGGAAUGAAUGGCUUGACGAGGUGUUAGCUGUCUUUCUAGUAUUUAGGUUGAAUUUGAUUUCUUGGUAAAAAUACCUAGAUUUUUUUAUGGGACGAGAAGACCCUAUAGAGUUUUAUACAAUCUUUCUUUUUGGUUUGUUUUUUCGUGUUGGGGAUUUUGUAUUUUGUUGGGGUAAUGGGAGGAUAAGUUGAACUCUUCUUUUUGUUUUUCACUGAUUUGUGUUUAUUAUGAUCCUUUAUUAUUGAUUGUUAGAUUAAAUUACCUUAGGGAUAACAGCGUAAUCUUCUUUGAGAGCUCUUAUUGACAAGGGGGGUUGCGACCUCGAUGUUGGAUUAAGAUGAAUUUCUGGUGUAGAGGCUUUGGAAAGUUAUUAUUAGGUCUGUUCGACCUUUAAAAUCUUACGUGAUCUG
rnacentral:rRNA from 1 species